rnacentral:rRNA from 1 species
UACGUAGGAGGCAAGCGUUGUCCGGAAUCAUUGGGCGUAAAGCGCGUGUAGGCGGUUCGAUAAGUCUGCUGUGAAAGUCCAGGGCUCAACCCUGGAAAGCCGGUGGAUACUGUCGGACUAGAGUGCGGAAGAGGCGAGUGGAAUUCCCGGUGUAGCGGUGAAAUGCGCAGAUAUCGGGAGGAACACCUGUGGCGAAAGCGGCGCACUGGACCACAUCUGACGUUGAGGCGCGAAAGCUAGGGGAGCAAACAGG